rnacentral:misc_RNA from 1 species
UCCGGUCUCAGAAGCGGAAAGGUAUUGGAAAAUGAGCUCGGGGCUUCUCGGAAAACGUAAGAAGCAAACUAACCCAUGUCCCAAUCCAUUAUUUGUCCAGUGGUUAACUGAGUGGCGAGACGAAGCGGCUGAAAAAGGAUGGAAAAGCCAGUAUACAUAUGGAAAGGCUCUGAAGACGCUUAAGAAAUACCCCCUAGGGGUCUCUUCAGGAAAAGACUGCAAGUUUUUGGAAAACUUUGGUGACAAAAUAUGCAAGAUGUUAGAUGACAAAUUAUCAAAGCACAUUGCUCUGUAUGGUACUACAGCUGCAGUGCCAACAGGAGAGAGCUCCUCUCAGCCUUUGCCAACAGGUCCAUGUGCCGAUAAGAAAGCCAGGUCAAGGUCACCUGAAGUGGAAGUGAAUGAAGGCUUGUCAUAUGAACAACCAGCAGACAUACCUGCACAUGAAGGUCUAAAGAAGAGAAGGCAGCUAUCAGAAGUAAGAGGACAGAGGGAGUACAUACCACAGUUCAGGUCUGGUGCCUAUGCCCUUCUUGUAACAUUAUACAGGAAUAUGCAGCAAGUUAACAGUAGAGGCUACAUGACUAAGUUGGAACUAAUCAGAGAAGCACAGCCUUUAGCAGACAAAUCCUUCACAAUUCCAGAUCCUGGUGGUAGGUAUACUUCAUGGUCAAGUAUGGGAACCCUAAUCAACAAGCUUUUAGUCGUGAAAGAGAGCAGUCCUGCCAAGUACAGACUGACAGAAGCUGGGUGUGAACUUGCACAUAGAUUAUUACAUGUGGAGCCCACAUUAGAUUCUGGGGCACAGGACAACACCUCAGCAUCAUCUGACAAGAUCCACAGUGAGACAGGUCAGAGUGCAGGAAAUACUACGGGCUCCCCUAUUCAGAAUGCUGCAUCAGAGAAGAUCUUGCCAGUAACAGAGGACUCUUAUGAAGGAGAUUCCAAUAUUAGAGCCCCACAAUUCCAGUUUUGGUAUGUGACCCAGGAAAAUGAACUAGUGAAGUACAAAGAUCAAGCAGCUGUUUUGAUAGAUGAUUCCAUUGGUAUAGGGUUCCUGGUAAAAGCCAAGUAUUCUUCACUUCUUGCCUCAGGGUUAAGGUAUCAACUGGAUGACUCCAGGUCAUCCGAGUUUGGGGAGAGAUAUGCCUAUAUCCACAAUGAUGAUGCUUCUGACUUGUGCUCUCCACCUCCCAGUACUAUUAACUUGAAAUCACUGACCCAGCAGAAAGGGUUUUAUGAGAAAUCUCAAAGUAAACAAUUAUCACAAACAGUUCAAGGACCAGAAGUCAAAAUCAAAAACACGGAAGAUAUUCCAGUUGUGUCACAGGUGUUUGUUGCCAGUUUCCCAGCAACUGCAUCAAGAUCUACAAAAGAUAUUGAAAGGACAGCAGUGACUUUCAGCAGGAGUACAAAUAAUUUUGAAUCUCAAAUCAGUGGUGCUAAAAUUGAAAAGUAUGUUCUUCCGACUUUAAGAGAAACUACCAGUUCACUGUCUCAGGAUUCUACUACAUCAGGGGAGUCCAUGAAAAGCCUCCCAGUAGCACAAUUUACCAUGGAUGCUGGAACAUUUGACAUUGUGCUUUGUGUCGACAAUCAAGAACAUUACGGGAGUGGCAAAAAAGGUGAUCUGUUGCCUGAACUGCUGAAGAAUGGGGUGGAUUGCAAUGUACGCAAGUUACAAGUGGGAGACUUCCUGUGGAUUGCAAAGGAAAAAGUGAAACAUACCCCUGGACUGCUCCAGAUGCCAAAAACCAGAGAAUUAGUUCUCGACUACAUUAUAGAGAGAAAAAGGAUGGAUGACCUGGCUGGCAGUAUUAUUGAUGGCAGAUUUAAAGAACAAAAGUUCCGCCUCAAAAAUUGUGGCCUUAGGAAACCCAUUUACUUGGUGGAGGAUUAUGGAUCUACUCAGCAUUUCAGUGUAAAGGAAGAUACGUUAAACCAAGCAAUAGUCAAUACACAGGUUAUAGAUGGUUUCUAUGUGAAGAGGACUAAGGACUUGAAGGAAUCAGUAGCGUACCUAACUAUCAUGACAAGAUAUUUACAGAGCAUUUACAAGAAUAAAUGUCUACAUGCCUGCAGUAAGAAUGAGCUGGAUGAGAAUGGUGGUGAAAGUGUAAUAGACAGUUCUGUACAGAUGCUCAUGACAUAUGAGGAGUUCAGCCAGUAUUCUAUUAAAUCAAAGUCUGGUACAAAAAUAUGAGUCCUGUGCUUCAGAAAAAGAGAAGGAAACACUCCUUGCAAAACUGAAAUUUGGUAGUAUGAACAGGAAUCUUGGUGCAGCCCUCAGCAAGACAGUGUAUCAACUAUAUAACACGUCUGCGCCAUUACAAUAAAUGGAAUUUUUUCAAGCAGUUUCCGAAACAAAAAGUUCUGUUUGGGAAUGACAGUCAAUAAAAAAUGAAACUGAAUUUACAUGAACUGUAUAUCAGAGGACAAAGAAGAACAAUUAUCUAAACACUAGAGAUAAACAAACACCACGUAGGAUUAAUUUUUUUUCCUAGUAUCUGCAUGGGAACUAAAAACAUGCAACAACUGCAUACCUUCUCAUAUAUUUUGUUUCCAUUCACAUACUCUGCUCAGUUUUAAUUUAAAUUAUGAGAUGAUGUUAUUCAUUUCAGUUUAUGUUUCAACACUUCUGUACUCCAUAUAUUUUAUGGAAAUGUAAACAGGCACAUGAAUUGGUUUUAAAGCAGGUCUAUCAGGAAAUUGUAUAAAAAAAUAGCUCUUUCACAGUGUAACACAUUCCACAUAAACGAGAUCUGUUUCAUAUUCAACACCAAUCUUACUAUCGAUCCCUAGAAGGGAAAAAAGCAUUUACAUCUUGCAAUUAGAAUGUACAAUUUACCUUUCAAGUGGUGGAAGUGGAGUAUCAUGUGACUAAGAUACAAGCAUAUACUGAGUAAAUGAACAGGAAGGAUGGAGAGUGCGAAUGUUGCCAGGACUCCCGAGUUACGUUGAUACAUGUAGGGCACAUAAAUUGGUUUUAAGGCCAUGUUCAGAUUCUCAAAUGGUCUAGAUGAACGAGAUCAAUGCUAGGUGAGUUCUUUACUGUAAGCAAAUCAACACUACCCGGUACAAGCAAAAGUUUGUAUUUGCUCUCAUUGUAUUAAAUGUUCUUUAGCUUACUGCAGGAGUAAUGAUCACUCUGCACUUUACCAAACUAGAUAGUGCAACUUGAUGCUAUCAACAAGCACAAUCAAAAAGGCAUGACAAUAACUCAUUAUAUUGUAUGUUUUUUCAUUUAUUAUAAUUGAAGAUUCCAGUCGAAACACUUGGGGCCACAUGCAUGUAUAACACUAUAAAUACAAAGGGAAUCACCUUGCAAUGAAGGCAAAAUAAAUGAUAUUUUUAGCAGUCUAA